UGACCCCGGAUCAGGUAGGGAUACCCGCUGAACUUAAGCAU
rnacentral:rRNA from 1 species